AAUGACUAUGGUUAUGACUAUAGGCUUAAUUUUAGGUAUUUCUUAGUCUUCUAUAAUAGGAUUUAAUAUUACAGUUAGGUCUGAUUCAUUUAGUUUUAGAUUUUUGAAAUCAAACCUUACCAAACCAAAAAGAUUUUUGCUUUUUAUUCAGUUAAUUCAAUUUUUUUAUGGCAUGUGUUUUUGCUCAUAAGGUAUGCUGGUAGUUUUUUUUUUUUAAUGUUUAUUGUAAUUUAAAUUCAUUCUGAUAGUUCAUUUAUGUUUAAUUCCUUUCAUGCAUGCAUGUGGGGUUGCGUAAACUGAGUUGCUCGGAAUUUGAUUAAGGUUUGUGGCUUGGAAACGAGUGAGUGGUUAGGGAUUUUGAGGUGUUUUUAAGCUACCUUUAAAGGUAUUUCCUUGCACGGCGUAUUUGCAAAUGCAGUUGCUUACUUAUUCUUUUGCUGGACAUCCCUGACCUGGCAUAAUAUGCAACAGUACCUGUUAUUAAUAGCCUGACUGAACGACCAUCUUUGCCAAACAAUGGCUGAUGCUCUCAUGAAAAUUGAACAUGUUGGCCGGUUGGAAGGAACCAAGGUUGUUUAUGUUGGAGUCAGGAAUAACGUUGUAUACUCUUGGUUUGCUGUGAUUCCUUUCCACUUUGUCUGUGCUUGCCCGAAAGGUUUUGAGCCUGAUGCGGAAACUGUAUAAAAGACACAACACUUUGGGAUCGGAAAAUUUGAGAUUACUAAAGACCCACAGGAAUCCGUUAGGGGAGCUGAUGUUGUGUGCUCUGAUGCGUGGCCUGCAUCGGGCAAAAGGAAGAGGCUGCAUCUUGUCAUCAAGUAGGAUUUCAGGCAUAUAUGCUGCUUUUUUCCAAAACUAUUGAUUACAACAAGGUUUUAAGCUUCUCAUGCAGGAAAUAAGUAAAACCCAAUUUACUG